UACGUAGGGUGCGAGCGUUAAUCGGAAUUACUGGGCGUAAAGCGUGCGCAGGCGGUUUUGUAAGCCAGAUGUGAAAGCCCCCGGGCUUAACCUGGGAAUGGCAUUUGGGACUGCAAGGCUUGAGUGCGGCAGAGGAGACUGGAAUUCCCGGUGUAGCAGUGAAAUGCGUAGAUAUCAGGAGGAACACCGAUGGCGAAGGCAGGUCUCUGGGACGUGACUGACGCUGAGACGCGAAAGCGUGGGGAGCAAACAGG
rnacentral:rRNA from 1 species